rnacentral:lncRNA from 7 species
GGCGCCGGGCGGCGCGGCGCGGCGAGCGAGAUCUGCAGCGAGCGAUCGAGCACAGUUCCCGAUUCAUUAACCGGGCGCACGCACAUGCGACGCGGACGCGAUCCAUAUACCUAAAUCUAAUCCAAGGGCUAAAAUACAUACCACAGAUUUAAAUUUCCUUGUUGCGAGUUGACAUCCGUACGUGUAGCGUCGUCGGCACGGCACUACCUACGGCAGCGGUACGUACGCUUUGGUAUUUGCAAAUUUCGUAUACUCCAACGCAACCGGCACACGCAUAUAUAAGCUGUAGACCUGCGCGCCAGGCCACGGCCAGCAUAAAGGCCACGGCCACGGCCAGGCCACGGCUAGCGUAAAGGAUGACAACACAUACAGAACUCGAUCGCGGAAAGAGGGUUAAUCUCUACAUCCAUUAUAAGUAAUGUAGUUUGUAUGUAUGUAUAUAUUCAUU